rnacentral:rRNA from 1 species
AGCGAACGCUGGCGGCAGGCCUAACACAUGCAAGUCGAGCGAGAUCUUCGGGUCUAGCGGCAGACGGGUGAGUAACACGUGGGGAUCUGCCCGAUGGUACGGAAUAGCUCCGGGAAACUGGAAUUAAUACCGUAUGUGCCCGCAAGGGGAAAGAUUUAUCGCCAUCGGAUGAACCCGCGUCGGAUUAGCUAGUUGGUGUGGUAAAGGCGCACCAAGGCGACGAUCCGUAGCUGGUCUGAGAGGAUGAUCAGCCACACUGGGACUGAGACACGGCCCAGACUCCUACGGGAGGCAGCAGUGGGGAAUAUUGGACAAUGGGCGCAAGCCUGAUCCAGCCAUGCCGCGUGAGUGAUGAAGGCCUUAGGGUUGUAAAGCUCUUUCGCCGGUGAAGAUAAUGACGGUAACCGGAGAAGAAGCCCCGGCUAACUUCGUGCCAGCCGCCGCAGUAAUAC